rnacentral:rRNA from 1 species
GACGGAGGGUGCAAGCGUUGUUCGGAAUUACUGGGCGUAAAGCGUACGUAGGCGGCGGAUUAAGUCGAAUGUUAAAGCCUGGGGCUCAACCCCAGAGAUGCACUCGAUACUGGUUUGCUAGAGGGUGAUAGAGGAAAGUGGAAUUCCGAGUGUAGCGGUGAAAUGCGUAGAUAUUCGGAGGAACAUCAGUAGCGAAGGCGACUUUCUGGGUCACACCUGACGCUGAGGUACGAAAGCGUGGGGAGCAAAC